rnacentral:misc_RNA from 1 species
GAAAUGCGAUAAGUAAUGUGAAUUGCAGAAUUCAGUGAAUCAUCGAAUCUUUGAACCCACAUUGCGCCCGCCAGUAUUCUGGCGGGCAUGCCUGUUCGAGCGUCAUUACAACCCUCAGGCCCCCGGGCCUGGCGUUGGGGAUCGGCGGAAGCCCCCUGCGGGCACAACGCCGUCCCCCAAAUACAGUGGCGGUCCCGCCGCAGCUUCCAUUGCGUAGUAGCUAACACCUCGCAACUGGAGAGCGGCGCGGCCACGCCGUAAAACACCCAACUUCUGAAUGUUGACCUCGAAUCAGGUAGGAAUACCCGCUGAACUUAAGC